rnacentral:rRNA from 1 species
AGUGAACGCUGGCGGUAGGCCUAACACAUGCAAGUCGAACGGCAGCACAGUAAGCGCUUGCUCUUACGGGUGGCGAGUGGCGGACGGGUGAGGAAUACAUCGGAAUCUACUUUUUCGUGGGGGAUAACGUAGGGAAACUUACGCUAAUACCGCAUACGACCUACGGGUGAAAUCAGGGGAUCUUCGGACCUUGCGCGAUUGAAUGAGCCGAUGUCGGAUUAGCUAGUUGGCGGGGUAAAGGCCCACCAAGGCGACGAUCCGUAGCUGGUCUGAGAGGAUGAUCAGCCACACUGGAACUGAGACACGGUCCAGACUCCUACGGGAGGCAGCAGUGGGGAAUAUUGGACAAUGGGCGCAAGCCUGAUCCAGCAAUACCGCGUGGGUGAAGAAGGCCUUCGGGUUGUAAAGCCCUUUUGUUGGGAAAGAAAAGCAGCAGGUUAAUACCCCGCUGUUCUGACGGUACCCAAAGAAUAAGCACCGGCUAACUUCGUG